rnacentral:rRNA from 1 species
GACGAAGGAUCCAAGCGUUAAUCGGAAUUACUGGGCGUAAAGCGCGCGUAGGCGGCUGAUUAAGUCGGGUGUGAAAGCCCCGGGCUCAACCUGGGAACUGCAUCCGAUACUGAUCGGCUAGAGUAUGAGAGAGGGAGGUAGAAUUCCACGUGUAGCGGUGAAAUGCGUAGAUAUGUGGAGGAAUACCGGUGGCGAAGGCGGCCUCCUGGCUUAAUACUGACGCUGAGGUGCGAAAGCGUGGGGAGCAAACAGG